UACGUAGGGUGCAAGCGUUGUCCGGAAUUAUUGGGCGUAAAGAGCUCGUAGGCGGCUUGUCGCGUCUGCUGUGAAAACUCAGGGCUUAACUCUGAGCUUGCAGUGGGUACGGGCAGACUAGAGUGCGGUAGGGGAGACUGGAAUUCCUGGUGUAGCGGUGAAAUGCGCAGAUAUCAGGAGGAACACCGGUGGCGAAGGCGGGUCGCUGGGCCGUAACUGACGCUGAGGAGCGAAAGCGUGGGGAGCGAACAGG
rnacentral:rRNA from 1 species